AAAUUUAGAUUUUUCUCCUCUGCAACUCCAUCUUCCUCUGGAGGAGAGAAAAUAGAGAAUAGUUCUCCCAACACAGAACCGCUGAGUGGCGAGGAAAUGGAUCCAAGUAGUUCAUCAAAGCCAAGUGCUCCAUAUAGAAAAGGUCGGGGUGUUAUGGUUUGGAAUGAUGAAGAUUUUUCCCAGGUUGAUC